rnacentral:rRNA from 1 species
UACGUAGGGUGCAAGCGUUAAUCGGAGUUACUGGGCGUAAAGCGUGCGUAGGCGGUGUCUUAAGUUUGUUGUGAAAUCUCCCGGCUUAACCGGGAGGGUGCGGCGAAUACUGAGAUGCUGGAGUGCCGGAGAGGUAAGCGGAAUUCCUGGUGUAGCGGUGAAAUGCGUAGAUAUCAGGAGGAACACCUGCGGUGUAGACGGCUUACUGGACGGUAACUGACGCUGAGGCACGAAAGCGUGGGUAGCAAACAGG